rnacentral:lncRNA from 1 species
UCUUAAUUUUAAUGAAAACAGAUGGUAUUUUUCCAACUUUUGAGUCUCUGUAACAAAAAGCCCCAACAACUAUUUUUCAUCUCUUUCAGUGAAAAUUGUUCUGUGUAAAAAUGUGCCAUAAAUGUCCUUCUUCCAACCACAAUGCAUUAAUGUAAACCUCAUGAGUCUACUAUGUAGGACAUAUCCAGCUUUGACUACUUAGACCAUUCAGAAACAAUCCCUUUUGAUAUUUUUUCUGGCUGAGAAGUGAAGAUAAUACAAAUAAUGUUAACAUGUUUACAAAAUCCAGCAGUGCUGGCACAAACAUGGAAGUGUCCUAAAAGAGAAAAACACACGCGAAUGUGUAGCACUUAGCGUGAGAGUGUUAACAUUUUGGAAAGAAAGUAACAGAUGUAUUUCUUAGUUAUUUCCAUUCUAAGUUAGGGCAUGGGGUGCUGUCCUGAUGCCACAAUGAUAUUUCUGACCUGAUUAUGACUCUGUGGGCACGCACUUAACACUGAGAUGUGUGUUUGCAAGCUCUGAGUAGCAGGGAAGGGGGGGGGGUGUGCACGAAACAGGUUAACAUCUCCUGCAUAUUUUUCAGGUAUGAAUGUGUAUCUGAGCUUUGCUAAAUCUGAAGAUGUCAGAAGAGCCUGUAUUCCACACGUGGGCAUUGUGCAGCCUCUGAGAAGACGAGCAUUCCUCAAGCAAGCAUGGAAGCAAAUGUCAUCCGCAGUUCUGUGUCUGACAGAAAGGUCAGGUUUCUUCUGGAAGAGGCUGUGCUGCAGGAUGCCUGGUACCUCUCUGCUUGGCUGUCACAGGAAGCAACACUCGCCAGCACCAAAUGCAGCACCAACAAAUGUGUCAGGCAUUCAAACCACUGGUAUGCCGGGAAAAUGGAGCCUCCAGGAGCAACACAGGGACAUCUGUGGAAAUCCUCACUGAACCGGGAGAUAAUGUACAUGUGUGCUUACUGAAAUCAGCGUUUGGGUGGAGUAUAAAUCCCAAUUUUUAUAGGUACUCUGGUGGAUCUGUUGUCCUGUGUGUCCAUUACAGCCCUAAAUACCUGUAUGGUGUAAUUACUGGAAGAACAAAGUCAGUUACUGGAAGAUUACUGCCAUGGUAAUUAAGGAGUUACAGAAAAACAAGGAGCUUUCACCAAUUACUGGGAGAGAUGUCACCCCUGGGGGAAGGCAAAGUGACUGCAGAAGCAUGGCCAUGGAGGGAUGUCAUCAGCCUGGUGAGAAAAUUUACAGGUGAAUUGGAUGGAUGGAUGGAUGGAUGGAUGGAUGGAUGGAUGGAUGGAUGGAUGGAGAUAGAUAGAUAGAAAGAUAGAUAGAAA